UACGUAGGGGGCUGGCGUUGUCCGGAAUCAUUGGGCGUAAAGCGCGCGUAGGCGGCCCGGUAAGUCCGCUGUAAAAGUCAAAGGCUCAACCUUUGAAUGUCAGUGGAUACUGCCGGGCUAGAGUCCGGAAGAGGCGAGUGGAACUCCUGGUGUAGCGGUGGAAUGCGCAGAUAUCAGGAAGAACACCGACGGCGAAGGCAGCUCGCUGGGACGGUACUGACGCUGAGGCGCGAAAGCGUGGGGAGCGAACAGG
rnacentral:rRNA from 1 species